rnacentral:rRNA from 1 species
AUGGCGCCGUGGUGUUGGACGCUGUCGACGGAGCUCGUUCCGCGGAGACCCGGCGCUGGACCUGGGCGGCGAGGUGCAGAGGAAACGGCUGCGCUCGAGGCAGGACGGGAUCUCGGGGAUACAUACGAUUUAUGCUUUGUGCGUGCUGCUGCUGCGAUUUUCCUGCUGCUUUGUUGUAGACACAUACUCAAGUUGGGUCAUCUAUUUUGGAAUGGAGGGAGUACAAGAGUUGCUAAUGCAGAUGCUUAUAGGUCUGCUGCAUGUGAAUUUUGUUCUGAAUGCUGA